UGGGGAAUUUUGGACAAUGGGCGAAAGCCUGAUCCAGCAAUGCCGCGUGCAGGAAGAAGGCCUUCGGGUUGUAAACUGCUUUUGUACGGAACGAAAAGGCUCUUUCUAAUAAAGAGGGCCCAUGACGGUACCGUAAGAAUAAGCACCGGCUAACUACGUGCCAGCAGCCGCGGUAAUACGUAGGGUGCGAGCGUUAAUCGGAAUUACUGGGCGUAAAGCGUGCGCAGGCGGUUCUAUAAGACAGAUGUGAAAUCCCCGGGCUCAACCUGGGAAUGGCAUUUGUGACUGUAGAGCUAGAGUACGGUAGAGGGGGAUGGAAUUCCGCGUGUAGCAGUGAAAUGCGUAGAUAUGCGGAGGAACACCGAUGGCGAAGGCAAUCCCCUGGACCUGUACUGACGCUCAUGCACGAAAGCGUGGGGAGCAAACAGGAUUAGAUACCCGAGUAGUCCCUGAGCGGGCUGGCAAGGCGCAU
rnacentral:rRNA from 1 species